rnacentral:rRNA from 1 species
AUAUGGAAGGUCCGGGCGUUAUCCGGAUUUAUUGGGUUUAAAGGGAGCGCAGGCGGAGAUGCAAGCGUGACGUCAAAUUUCGGGGCUCAACCCCGUCUCGCGUCGCGAACUGCGUCCCUUGGUUGCGGGAAGGGCGGCGGAACUCGUGGUGUAGCGGUGAAAUGCAUAGAUAUCACGAAUAACUCCGAUCGCGAAGGCAGCCUUCCGGCCCGUCAACGACGCUCAUGCUCGAAGGUGCGGGUAUCAAACAGGAUUAGAUACCCUGGUAGUCCGCACAGUAAGCGAUGGACACCCGCGGUUUGGCCUGUAUGGCUGAGCCGCCAAGCGAAAGCGUUAAGUGUCCCACCUGGGGAGUACGCCGGCAACGGUGAAACUCAAAGGAAUUGACGGGG